GCCGGUGCCGGCCGCCUACUGUGAGGACUGAGCCUGUACUGGUUUUCAUUUUGGUAACAGUAACAGAGCUGGAGGUAAGUUUACAACAGAUUAAUGAUUACCCAUAUAUGUAACUUAGGAAACAUGU
rnacentral:lncRNA from 7 species